GUUCUUGGGAAUACAAUUGGUUUCUGUAUCGCUUUAUUUCAACUUAAUGUAUUCACUGAACUAAGUUGGAAAUUGUGUUGUAUUUAACCCCCAUGCCUGUCUUUCUCACACUUUAAUGAUAAUUCUAAUGGGAGUGGUUCUAAAAACAUUUCCCGCAUGACUAAUAAGCUAAUGCUUCUCCUGCGGCCUUCACCUUGCCUGCUGUGUAGUGAUGGCCCUUUAAGAAGCUGGUAUUUUUUUAAUCUGUAAUUUCUUUAGGUUAAUUGACUAGUCAUAUAAGUUCCUACAAACUUGUUCAAGUUCUGUAUUCAUGGUGCUUUUGACAUAAUUUAAAAAUUCCAUGCUUUUGCCUUAGGGUAGUGAAGUUUCCGAAUUUAGAUACUAACAGGUCUGAAUAUGUAUAUUUCUGAAAUCAGAAUUUAUUUUCGGUUUCAUUUUCAAGUAUACACGUAGAGAAGGUAAUUUGUAAUUGGUUUUUUUUUUUAGGCCACCCUACUAUAAAAGAGGGAGCGUGUGAUCGUGCGUCUUGCAGAAUGUUGUAUAUAUUAAAACUAUCUCUUCUGAAUUAGGCGUUUCCAUUUUUUACUAACUUAUUAGCUGUUGGUUUGGGUUAUGUGUAAUAUAAUGUUUAGAAUUAUAGAUUGAAUUUAUUGAAGUGGUCCUUCAUGUUUAGGAGAAAAUUUUCUUUCCCCAACUAUGAACGGUAGCAACAGCUUUGGCUUAGCCGUUUGAAACUGAGUUUGCCUCAGUAAUACAGAAUCAGUUAUUAGCUGUAUAAAGCCCGGUUCUGAAAAUCCCUAGUGACCCUAGUGACCCUAGUAUCCCUAGUGACCACCCUUGAGACUGGGGAGAGUGCCACCUAAGAGGCACUGUCAAAUGCCUGUCAGAGUGUUUAGCUCCCAUUGACAGCCUCUAAAAUUCUGCCCAGCUUUGGGUCCUCAUGCGUUUGAAACCAGAAUACACCGGAGUUUUAGACACUUUUAUUUAAGUAUCAUUCCCGAAUAUUCUUUGUUUUUACAUACUAACCUCCUAGUAAGAGGUCAGCAACCAUUUGCUCCAGGAUGAUGGGGCACCGUUUGUUCUGGGAAGAUGGAAUGUUGGCUGAGGUACAACUCCUGAAAUCAGAACGCAGCAGCUCUCUCUCUAACUGUCGCUACUCUUAUACGUGGUUACAUGUGCCACUCAUAGGCCAGGUCUUCUCAAAGCUUAAAUGGUUGGUAAGAGUUUUUCUCAUUCUGUGUUCAAACAGUAUUUUUACUCUGUCGCUGAGGACUUGGUCAGAAGCUUCUGGUACUCAAGGAUAUAAGCCCUUCAACUCAGUCCUCAGCUACGUAGUAAGUUGAGGACUCCUUAAUAAUCAUUUUCAAAGUUGUUUUAGCUCUCCUCCUGAUUAUGACUAAAUUCAUUUUGAAUUUGAAUGUUGUGGAAUAAUCAAAGGUAAUUAGUUUUGAAUUCACAACCUUAGGUCCUAAACUCAAUAAAAGUCACUUACCCAAAUGGCUGAAAAGCGGGUUUUCAAAGCAGUUUUCUUUAAGUGUCAUGACUACUACUAACUGUGGAUGGUUUUAGUCAGGAAUGAAUAAUUAAAUUUCUGUGUUAAAAACGUUUGUAAUUAAUUCCUCACCAGGUUUUUGCAUUGUCAUGAUACUAAUGCUCAUUCUAUGUACAGAAAUUAAUUAUGCCCAUUUUCCCAGCUGUAAAGUAAGUGUACGCAAUGGUGACUUCCCAACACUUUUAUACCAUCUUUAAUCAGAGCAUUUGAAAAACUUUAAGUGAUGAUAAAAUACAGGUAGCUGCUGAACCCCUGACUUCUGUGACUUCCUUCAACUUGUGUCUAAGGCUUUUUUUUGUGUGUGUGUGUCUGAGAAAGAAUAAAGAUAUUGGC
rnacentral:lncRNA from 1 species